rnacentral:rRNA from 1 species
CUGCUGCCUCCCGUAGGAGUCUGGGCCGUGUCUCAGUCCCAAUGUGGCCGGCCAACCUCUCAGUCCGGCUACUGAUCGUCGCCUUGGUGGGCCGUUACCCCGCCAACCAGCUAAUCAGACGCGAGCUCAUCUCAGAGCGAUAAAUCUUUGACAGUCAGAGAGAUGCCUCCCAACUGUAUCAUGCGGUAUUAGCGGCUGUUUCCAGCCGUUAUUCCCCACUCCAAGGCAGAUUG